rnacentral:rRNA from 1 species
UACGAAGGGGGCUAGCGUUGCUCGGAAUUACUGGGCGUAAAGGGUGCGUAGGUGGUCGUUUUAAGUCCGUUGUGAAAUCCCUGGGCUCAACCUGGGAACUGCGUUUGAAACUACAAGGCUAGAGUGUAGCAGAGGGGGGUAGAAUUCCACGUGUAGCAGUGAAAUGCGUAGAUAUGUGGAGGAAUACCGAUGGCGAAGGCAGCCCCCUGGGAUAACACUGACGCUCAUGCACGAAAGCGUGGGGAGCAAACAGG